rnacentral:rRNA from 1 species
GGAUUCCCCUAGUAACGGCGAGUGAAGAGGGAAGAGCCCAAGAUUGAAAGCUGGCGUCUUCGGCGUCCGCAUUGUAAUCUCAAGAAGUGUUUUCCGCUUCGGACCAAGCCUAAGUCCCUUGGAAAAGGGCAUCAUAGAGGGUGAUAAUCCCGUACAUGGCUUGGAGCGCCCGAAGCUUUGUGAUACGCUUUCUAAGAGUCGAGUUGUUUGGGAAUGCAGCUCAAAAUGGGUGGUAAAUGCCAUCUAAGGCUAAAUAUUGGGGAGAGACCGAUAGCGAACAAGUACAGUGAUGGAAAGAUGAAAAGAACUUUGAAAAGAGAGUUAAACAGUACGUGAAAUUGCCAAAAGGGAAGGGUAGGAGGUCAGAGAUGCGGCCUGGGAUUCAGCCUUGCUUUUGCUUGGUGUUUUUCCCAGAUUGCAGGCCAACGUCGGUUUUGGGCACUGGAGAAGGGUAGGAGGAACGUGGCACCUCUCGGGGUGUGUUAUAGCCUCCUACUGGAUACAGCGACCGAGACCGAGGACAGCAGCGUACUCGCAAGAGCGGGCCUUCGGGCACCUUUACGCUUAGGGCGUUGGCAUAAUGGCCCUCUACCACCCGUCUUGA